CAGUCGCCGCGGUAAUACGGAGGGUGCAAGCGUUAAUCGGAAUUACUGGGCGUAAAGCGCACGCAGGCGGUCUGACAAGUCAGAUGUGAAAUCCCCGGGCUUAACCUGGGAACUGCAUUUGAAACUGUCAGGCUGGAGUCUUGUAGAGGGGGGUAGAAUUCCAGGUGUAGCGGUGAAAUGCGUAGAGAUCUGGAGGAAUACCGGUGGCGAAGGCGGCCCCCUGGACAAAGACUGACGCUCAGGUGCGAAAGCGUGGGGAGCAAACAGGAUUAGAGACCCCGGUAGUCCCUGUCUCUUAUAC
rnacentral:rRNA from 1 species